CGCCUCUUGCAAAAUAUAAGAGGUCCAGCCUGCCCAGUGACUCUGUUCAACGGCCGCGGUAUCCUAACCGUGCGAAGGUAGCGUAAUCACUUGUUCUUUAAAUGUGGACUAGUAUGAAUGGCACCACGAGGGUUAUACUGUCUCCUUUCUCUAAUCAGUGAAACUGAUCUCCCCGUGAAGAAGCGGGGAUACACCUAUAAGACGAGAAGACCCUAUGGAGCUUUAAACAAAAUAGCACUUGCCCUACAACACAAAAAUUCCUGAAUCACUAAUACACCUGGCAAUAUGACUAUAAGUUUUUGGUUGGGGUGACCACGGAGUACAACACAACCUCCGUAUUGAAAGAAUACUAUUCUAAGCUAAGAACUACGAAUCUAAGCAUCAAAACACUGACAUCUAUUGACCCAAUACAAUUGAACAACGAACCAAGUUACCCUAGGGAUAACAGCGCAAUCCACUUCGAGAGCUCCUAUCGACAAGUGGGUUUACGACCUCGAUGUUGGAUCAGGGUCUCCCAGUGGUGCAGCCGCUACUAAUGGUUCGUUUGUUCAACGAUUAAAACCCU
rnacentral:rRNA from 1 species